rnacentral:tRNA from 1 species
GCUAGCGUAGCUCAAUGGCAGAGCAGCGGUUUUGUAAACCGCAGGUUGCGAGUUCGACUCUCGCCGCUAGCU